rnacentral:rRNA from 1 species
GACGAACGCUGGCGGCGUGCUUAACACAUGCAAGUCGAACGGAAAGGCCCUGCUUUUGUGGGGUGCUCGAGUGGCGCACGGGGGAGUAACACGUGAGUAACCUGCCCUUGACUUUGGGAUAACUUCAGGAAACUGGGGCUAAUACCGGAUAGGAGCUCCUGCUGCAUGUUGGGGGUUGGAAAGUUUCGGCGGUUGGGGAUGGACUCGCGGCUUAUCAGCUUGUUGGUGGGGUAGUGGCUUCCCAAGGUUUUGACGGGUAGCCGGCCUGAGAGGGUGACCGGCCACAUUGGGACUGAGAUACGGCCCAGACUCCUACGGGAGGCAGCAGUGGGGAAUAUUGCACAAUGGGCGGAAGCCUGAUGCAGCAACGCCGCGUGCGGGAUGACGGCCUUCGGGUUGUAAACCGCUUUCGCCUGUGACGAAGCGUGAGUGACGGUAAUGGGUAAAGAAGCACCGGCUAACUACGUG